rnacentral:lncRNA from 1 species
ACCUUUAUAUAAACAGUUUAUUUACUCUAAACAGCAACACAGACAAACGCCAUAUAAACACAAAGGAAGUGAUGCGGAGACGCGACGCUGGCUGACUGGAUCCGAGGCUCGUAAGCAACACAAGCCAGGCUCUGGGAGGGCGGCGGCGGCGGGGGCAGGUCUGAUUUUCUGUCGUGCAGCCAGCUGGAGGCUAAGUGCAGCUCUAGACGGUGUGAAGCAUGCCUGCAUCCGCGAGCAAAGGGGACUAGCUCCUCGGGACUCAUCCAAGUAUAAAAGUUUAUAAUUUUACAGCAGUUGAAAUACUGACAUCAAUAUUAAAAUAAAAGCAAGUUUUACAUAACAAUCAAAAAUACAAAAGACUGAAGGAAGAGACCCUGUAUGAAAAACGGGGCGAUUCUGCGAGUCGAGACUGUGCCCGUGGCGGAAAUGGCAAUGGCGCCCGCCCAACCCUCCCCGGGUGACCAGGAUUGCAGAGAGCAACGUGAGAUUCGCCAAAUGCUGUAAACAAGUUCUUGCCAAACCAAUCCCUUCCUUUUCAUGAUGCCACAAGGUCGCUGCUUAUGAGGGAGCAAACUUCUUGGCUUGUGCUCGAACCCUUUUCUCGUAUUCCACUCUGUUUUGGCUGAGGAGGUCAAGAGAGAGACGGGUUAGAAGGCGCGGUCUCGGGGCACCGGUGCCAGGGCAAAGCGGGGGGACAGGGCGGCCCCGCGGGGUCACGCCUGCAGUGACCGGCAGCUUCCUUCUCUCUGUGAAGCAGCGCCCGUCACAGCGUCACUGGAAGGGCCAGACGGGGAAGGGGUCUCAGCACCGGGCCUGCCCUCAGCUCAGGGCCCCGGGGAAACUUGUGGCAGCUUACGCGGGCCGGGUAGGACCUGGGCUGGGCUCCAGAGUGAGAACCCCUGCUGAGAAAAGGGCCGAGGACAUGACAACAAGGACAGAUGGGGCUCCUGCAUGCCUGACACCCUAGUUGAGAAAGCUGAGGGUCCUUCCGAGCUCUGCAGGCACGGCCCCUGGCAGUGUGGUUGCCUGUAGCUCCCCAGCUGUGCCACAGCACACAGGCCCUGAGCCCCACCCUGCAGCUCUCUGGGGAAGGGUUGGCAGUGCCAGUGCCAGGAGAGGCGGAGCUGGGGAGCGAGGCCACAGGAUCAGCCUCUGCAGUGGUCUGCGCGGACCCUGGCCCUGGGCAGAGGCAGCAGGCUGGGAGAAGCAGGGACUGCCAAGUCCAGCUCUGCCGUUUACCAAGCGAGGCUGGGAUGGGGCUGCAGGCACCUGCCAGGCGAGGACACGUCCUGUCACCUUCUGGGAGUGAAGGGAUAACAGCAUCGGGCAGGUCACAUGUCCAGGGUACCCAGGAAAAGGCCGCUAGCCCUGGUGAGCGCCAACCGCCCAGCCUCGGUGCCUGACAGCGUGGACCAGUGCCCACAGCACUGUGGCCACCUGCUGUCUACACGGGCGCUGCUGUCAGCCUGGGUGCCACGCCCCAGCUCUCCGUGUGGGCCUUCUCGGCCGCAGGGGCUCGGCCCAAAUGCACACCCAGCGCCUCGUGUACAAAGAGCGGAUGGGAGGCUGUAGAGACACCACGCGGCCCUGGCUCAAGCUAUCUGUGCGCCCAUAACGAACCUGAGCUCCACUAGGGUCCCUGAAUCACCUCCCCGCUAGAAUCCCCUGGGGGGAGCCCCUCCCCCGGAUUGGGACCUGGCCCCCUGGGUCAACCCCGGGUCAGGACCCUGGGGUGCUGGCUGCUUGGCGCGUCCCGAGGACAGUCGCAGCCCCAGCUUCCCUCCCCCCCCGACCCACUCCAGGAACAGGCACCUGCCCGGCCUGUCCCGGAGGCCAGCCCCUCGGGUCCCAGGCCGCUGAGGCACCUGGGGAGUGUCGUCGGGAAACUCGCGCUGUCCCGUGGGCAGAUGGGACAGUGGGGCUCAGAGCCUCCGGCCUGCCUAGGGCCCGUCCAGCCCAGCUCUGAGGAGAACCAGAGCCAAGCCCGGGGCUCCAGGUUUAACCACUGCUCGCCCCCAAUGAGUCACAGAGGGGACAUCAGAGCAGCUGGGUGGCCAAGAGUGGCCUGAAUCCCUGCCCCAUGGGAGCACGGGAGGCACCACACCCAGGCUGGACCAGCGUGUGGCAGGAGCGCCAAGGGGGGCAAGUCUGGGUCCCUGGCUGAGCUGGGCUGCGGGACGCCCCUUUUUCAGGGCCCAGGCCCAGGGGGUCAUUCCCUGAGCUGGACCAGGGCUGUUAAGACCUCACCUCCGACACAAAGCGGCCAACACCCGAACGCCGCCCCCCGCCCCCGCCGGCCUAGAGCAGAGACUCCAGGCGGCCAAUGCGAGGCUGCACCAGGUGGGGCCGGAGCGCUACUAACCAGUAGAUCGUGUAGGCCUCUGCUUGAGCUGGAUCUUGGAUAUUUGGUUCAUUUAGAAGUUCCUGUAUUCCUAACAAGAUCUGCGUAAGAGACAAAACAAACAGCCCAGUGGGAGGCUAGCGCUUUGAACGGCAAACCUGCCUAGGACAGCGGCCUCGGUCCCGGAGACCAGAGGCGGGCGCGCGCUGUGUACCUGCUUAAUCGUGAUGGCCGGCCUCCAGUCCUUGUCCUCCUCCAGGAUGGACAGGCACACCGUGCCCGAAGGGUACACGUUCGGGUGGAAUAACGGCGGCUCGAACUUGCCUGGGGCACAGGGAAGGAACACAGCUUGAUGGACUGACAAAAACAAACUCACCUGCUCACACCAGCAGCUUCAAGAAAACUCCCCCCAUCACACACCACCCUGCCUGUCCUGUCACCCCAGCUCGCAACCCCCCGAGGACUCCUGGCUCUCAGGGUCAUGUGUGCAGUUCCCACACCCGUGCUGUGCGGGCCUUGUUGGGGGAAGCUGUGCCGAGGACUUGCCCACAGCGCCCGCCGCAGGGGCGCAUCUGAGCCACAACAAAGCUGUGCACGUCCCUCGAGGCAAAUCCUGAUGUGUGCGCAUUUUUUUUUUUUUUUUUUAAGGGCCGCACCCAUGGCGUAUGGAGGUUCCCAGGCUAGGGGUUGAAUCAGAGUUUUAGCUGCCAGCCUACACCACAGCCACACGGAUCUGAACUGUGUCUGCGACCCACUCAACAGCUCACAGCAACGUCAGAUCCUUAACCCACUAAGUAAGGCCAGGGAUCAAACCGGUGUCCUCAUGGAUACUCAUCAGAUUUGUCUCUAGUGAGCCAUGACGGGAAUGCCAGUGUGUGCGCACUUCUACGGGAAGACACUGGCUUGCACGGGGUCUCUGCUGAAACUGCAGACACCACUGCUUUCCAACGGCUGUGCCAGUGUACAGCGCCAAGAUGCUGCCAGCACCCGUGGUUCAGUCAUGGCAUUCGGCCACUCUUGCGGUUCUGCUUUGCGUUUUCUGGAUCCUCUUUCACUCCCUGCGAUGCGGUGACUGCUUCCUUGCUCAAACCUUGCAUGCUUUUCUUGUCGACACUCCUUACACACGCGGGACGCAGGUCCGUUGUCAGUUAUCUGCCUCCCAAACGCCUU